rnacentral:lncRNA from 1 species
GCACACGUUCUCUCGGCAGUAGGGCAGCCUGAUGGACAGCAGCCUGGACAGGGUGCUCCGGGCUUUCCACAGGUGGAAGUAGCCGUCCAGGGACACCGCUCCCAGCUCCUGGUUCUUGCCACUGAAGGCCAGGGCCCGUACCUUGCGGUUACUGGGGUUGGUGCUGGCCCUGGGGAUGGUCUCCAAGUCCCUUGGACGGAUGUGGGCGUACACGGGGAGCCCCGCGUCGUUGUGCCAGGCGAUGCUGCCAUUGAAUAUGUCGGGGUCCAUCCGCCACAGAGCCACGGUGCCAUCGCGGGAGCCGCUCACAGCCACUGUGUCACUCAUCCAGGCGAUGGCGAAGAUCCAGUCCCUGUGGCCGAGGCGGUCGCCCAGGCACACGGGGUCCAGGGUGGGCAGCUGGUAGACAGCCAGACUGUUGGGGUUCUCGCCCCCCGUGGCCAGAAGCGUCUUGGAGGGAUUCAACUCGAUGGCGUGGAUGCCGCAGCUCGGCUGGGCCCGAGCCGGCCCGGGUUCCCGGUCCCGCAUGAGGGGGAUGCGCGUGAUCUGGCCCGACUGCACGUCCACCACGAAGAGCGUGUUGCACUUGGUGCCGCACACCACCUGCCUGGCGUUCAGCCACUGCGACGCGAACACCUUGUUGAGGGUGCCCAGGGCCAGCUCGCGCUCCCGCAGCAGCUCGGGCAGCUUCUGCACCGCGUAGCCGCGCAGCUCGCCCUCGAAGCCCAGGAGCCCGGCGCGGCCCCGCGCGCCCACCUCGCGGCCCUUCAGGGGAGCUGAAUUGCUGAAAGUUUGUCAUUAUCUCAGUGUCAACUGCUGGGGUGGCUGAAUUUUAGCAUAAGUCAUGAUAUGUGGUGGUUUCAAGGUAAGUACAUGUAUGAUUACUCAAUGAAUAUGUAUUUUACUAUUUAUCAAAACAAAGUAUCUUUGUCUAUAAUUUUGAACCUCUCUAACUUAGCAUUUAUAUUAGAGUUUUUACAUAUAAAAAGAGCAUUAAUAGUGAAUAGCUAUCAACCAUUUAUGUCUCAGGCAUUGAGUGAAGUCUUUUACAUAUAUUAUCUCAUUUAAUUUUUGCAUUAGCCCUAUAUGACAUAUAAAGAAACAUAUACACAAAAUAGUUGACAACUUGUUUACGAUCAUAUAACUUGUAAGUGUUAGAAUCAAGACCCCAAUUGCUACUUCCAUAACAAAGUAAGAUAGAUC